UACAGAGGUCUCAAGCGUUGUUCGGAUUCAUUGGGCGUAAAGGGUGUGUAGGUGGCGCCGUUAGUCGGGUGUGAAAUUUCGGAGCUUAACUCCGAAACUGCAUUCGAUACUGCGGUGCUUGAGGACUGGAGAGGAGACUGGAAUUCAUGGUGUAGCAGUGGAAUGCGUAGAGAUCAUGAGGAAGACCAGUGGCGAAGGCGGGUCUCUGGACAGUUCCUGACACUGAGACACGAAGGCCAGGGGAGCAAACGGG
rnacentral:rRNA from 1 species